rnacentral:rRNA from 1 species
GACGAACGCUGGCGGCGUGCCUAACACAUGCAAGUCUUGGGAGAAAGAGGUAGCAAUAUCUUGAGUAAACCGGCGCAAGGGUGAGUAACACGUAGGCAAUCUGCCCAAAGGACGGGAAUAACUUCGAGAAAUCGAGGCUAAUGCCCGAUGAUUUUCCGGUAUAGCAUUAUAUUGGAAUUAAAUGCCGCAAGGUGCCUUUGGAUGAACCUGCGUCCCAUUAGGUAGUUGGUGAGGUAACGGCCCACCAAGCCGACGAUGGGUAGCUGGUCUGAGAGGACGAUCAGCCACACUGGAACUGAGACACGGUCCAGACUCCUACGGGUGGCUG